UCCUUUGACGUUAGCGGCGGACGGGUGAGUAACACGUGGGUAACCUACCUAUAAGACUGGGAUAACUUCGGGAAACCGGAGCUAAUACCGGAUAAUAUUUCGAACCGCAUGGUUCGAUAGUGAAAGAUGGCUCUGCUAUCACUUAUAGAUGGACCUGCGCCGUAUUAGCUAGUUGGUAAGGUAACGGCUUACCAAGGCAACGAUACGUAGCCGACCUGAGAGGGUGAUCGGCCACACUGGAACUGAGACACGGUCCAGACUCCUACGGGAGGCAGCAGUGGUCAU
rnacentral:rRNA from 1 species